rnacentral:misc_RNA from 1 species
GAUGAAGAACGUAGCGAAAUGCGAUAAGUAAUGUGAAUUGCAGAAUUCAGUGAAUCAUCGAAUCUUUGAACGCACAUUGCGCCCGCCAGUAUUCUGGCGGGCAUGCCUGUUCGAGCGUCAUUUCAACCAUCAAGCCCCGGGCUUGUGUUGGGGACCUGCGGCUGCCGCAGGCCCUGAAAUGCAGUGGCGGGCUCGCUGUCACUCCGAGCGUAGUAGUUACAUCUCGCUCUGGGCGUGCUGCGGGUUCCGGCCGUUAAAAGCCUUAUUUACCCAAGGUUGACCUCGGAUCAGGUAGGAAGACCCGCUGAACUUAAGCAUAUCAAUAAGCGAGGA